rnacentral:lncRNA from 1 species
AGCUUGUCAUGAGUCCUAUUUCAUAACUUGAUGAAGUCAGUGGGAGGAUUUCUAAUUACUGAUUGAUGUCUUCUCUAUCUUCUAAAAUCAUAUAACUAAAUUUUCUAAAUUAUUAGGUCUUUAAAAUAAUAAUGUUAUGGAGAUAACAAAGUCAUAGCCUCCCAUUACGGUGGAUGAUAAUCGGUCUGAUAAUAUGAUAAUCAU